rnacentral:rRNA from 1 species
AAAAGCGAAUAAGGGCGCACGGAGGAUGCCUAGACAACAAGAGCCGAAGAAGGACGUGAUAAGCUGCGAAAAGCUAGGACGAGUUGCACAUUAGCGUUGACUCCUAGAUAUCCGAAUGGGAAAACCUAUAUACUUGAAGAGUAUAUACGAAAGAGGUAAGUGGGCGAACUGAAACAUCUAAGUAGCCUGAGGAAAAUAAAGUAAAAACGAUUCUCUAAGUAGCGGCGAGCGAACGGGGAAGAGCCUAAACCAUGGUAGUGUUAAAGUUGGCACGUUGCUAUUAUGGGGUAGAGGGAUAGUUGAUUGACGGAUAGCCAUGAAGUCGACAAAUUAAAUGACGUAAGAGGAACACAACUGGAAAGUUGGACCGAAGAAGGUGAUAGUCCUGUAGAUUGUAAAAUCAUUUAAAUGUUUUAACUAAUCCCGAGUAGUAUCGGACACGAGGAAUCCGGUGUGAAUCAGCGAGGACCAUAUCUCGUAAGGCUAAAUACUCUUGUUGAUCGAUAGAGAAUAGUACCGUGAGGGAAAGGUGAAAAGAACCCUGAGUAAGGGAGUGAAAUAGAACCUGAAACCGUGUGCUUACAAACGGUAGGAGCCCUUUGGGGUGACUGCGUGGAUUUUGGUUAAUCAUCCUGCGAGUUAUGAUGUGUGGCAAGGUUAAGUAAACGGAGCCGAAGGGAAACCGAGUCUUAAUAGGGCGAUAAGUCGCAUGUCAUAGACGCGAAACCUAGUGAUCUAGGCCUGUCCAGGUUGAAGCUGGGGUAAGACCCAGUGGAGGACCGAACUCACCACCGUUGAAAAGUUGGGAGAUGAGAUAGGUUUAGGGGUGAAAAGCCAAUCGAACUAGGAGAUAGCUCGUUCUCUCCGAAAUGCAUUUAGGUGCAGCCUUAAUAAAGAUAUAUGGGGGUAGAGCUCUGUAUGGCCUAGGGGGCGUAUAGCUUACCGAAGUCAAGCAAACUGCGAAUACCAUAUAUUAAUUAUUAGGAGUGAGUCCAUGGAUGACAAGGUCCAUGGACGAGAGGGAAACAGCCCAGACCAUCAGCUAAGGUCCCAAAUUAUGUCUAAGUGGGGAAGGAGGUGGAUACUCACAAACAACCAGGAGGUUGGCUUAGAAGCAGCCAUACCUUUAAAGAGUGCGUAAUAGCUCACUGGUCGAGAGUAUCUGCGCCGAAGAUUUAACGGGGCUAAGACAUAAACCGAAGCUAUGGAAACUAGAUUUUAUCUAGUUUGGUAGGAGAGCGUUCUGUAAGCCGUAGAAGGUGUACUGUAAGGUAUAUUGGAGGUAUCAGAAGUGAGAAUGCAGGAAUGAGUAGCGAGAAAGAGAGUGAGAAUCUCUCUGGCCGAAAGUCCAAGGUUUCCAGAGGAAGGUUUGUCCGCUCUGGGGGAGUCGGGACCUAAGUCGAGGCUUAAAAGCGUAGGCGAAUGGAAAAUAGGUUAAUAUUCCUAUACCACUAUAUAAACGUUAUUAGAGAUGGAGUGACGCAGGAAGGUAUGUGAGAAGGGCGACGGUUGUCCCUUUCUAAGGAAGUAGUGUGAACAUGGAGGCAAAUCCACAUGUUUAAACAUGAGAUCUUAUGGGUAAGUAGCUUAGGCUAUAAGUCACAAAUCCUAUACUGCCGAGAAAAACUUCUAUUGAGAUUAUGUAGUGCCCGUACUGUAAACCGACACAGGUGGACUGGGUGAGUAACCCGAGGCCGACAGGAUAACUCUAGCUAAGGAACUCUGCAAAAUGGCCCCGUAACUUCGGGAGAAGGGGUACCUAUGUUAUGUGAUAAGAUAAACACUUUGAGCAGAAAUAGGUCGCAGUGAAGAGUCCCAAGCAACUGUUUACCAAAAACACAGGUCUAUGCUAAGCUGAAAGGCGACGUAUAUGGGCUGACACCUGCCCAGUGCUGGAAGGUUAAGAGGAGGAUUGAGAGAUUCGAAUUGAAGCCCCAGUGAACGGCGGCCGUAACUAUAACGGUCCUAAGGUAGCGAAAUUCCUUGUCGGGU